GGCUCAUUUGGCAGCAACCCUGAGACGCUUUACAGCCCUAGACCCUAAAAGGUCAAAAGGCCGUCUUAUUCUCAAUAUACACUUUAUUACCCAAUUUGCUCCCAACAUUAAAUAAAACUCCAAAAAUUAAAUUCCAGCCCUCAAACCCCAAAACAGGACUUAAUUAACCUCACCUUCAAGGUGUACAAUAAUACAGUGAAGGCAGCCAAUUGCAACGUAUUUCUGAGUUGCAAUUCUUUGCCUCCACUGUCAGACAAACCCCAGCCACAUCUCCAGUACACAAGAACUUCCAAACGCCUGAACCACAGCAGCCAGGCAUUCCUCCAGAACCUCCUCCCCCAGGAGCUUGCUACAAGUGCCAAAAAUCUGGCCACCAGGCCAAGGAAUGCCCGCAGCCUGGGAUUCCUCCUAAGCCAUUUCCCAUCUGUGUGGGACCCCACUGAAAAUCGGACUGUUCAACUCACCUGGCAGCCACUCCCAGAGCCCGUGGAACGCUGGUGCAAGGCUCUUUGACUGACUCCUUCCCAGAUCUUCUCAGCUUAACGGCUGAAGACUGAUGCUGCCGAAUUGCCUCAGAAGCCCCUAGACCAUCACGGACGCUGAGCUUCAAGUAACUCUCACAGUGGAAGGUGCUCAAGAAAUAUUUGUUGCAUGCAGUUAGGAGGAAGAGACAUGAAGAACAGUCUCAGUUAGGUAGUUACAUCCUACUCCUUUUUUCGAAGACCUGCUGAGAAAGACCUUAGACUUGCAAUAGGAACUUUGGGAAAUCAGAGCAAAGACAACCAGCAUCAUAUUAUCUUACUAGAGAGAAAGAAAAAUUGAAUGAAGAACUGUGUGACAUAUAUACAAAGGAAAGGUACUGGAGUGUGGAGUCUUUGGCAAGCAAGGGAGCAGGAUUGCAAGUGAUGGAUGUACCACUUAAAUGAUGCUUUGCAAAGCCUUCAUCAUGUUCUGGCAGAAGAGUCACAAGAGAAUAAAUGACUUUCUUUUAAAUUCCAAGAGCAGGAAGGAGGAGACAGACAGUGUGAAUGUCACAGUCCCCAUUCAAUUGAUUUCUUAGUCAUCAAUGCUAAAGAGCAAUCUCCAGAGGAAAGAGAAGCUCAAAUACACAGACCCAUGGAAGUUUGAGUUAUCUUUAACGAAAUCUAAAGAAUUUCAUUGUUUUUAUUUAUUUGGGAAGAAAAUUAUUUACACAUCAUUAAAAAAUGUAAAAAAAGAAAACUGCGAAAAGAUGGAAAAUAGAGAAGAGUAAAUAAUCAUUAUGUUUUCCACCACUCAUACAGUUUUACUUUUCAAGUUUCUCUUUCUAAUUUAAUAGAGCUGAGUUUCAGGAUUAAAGUUACAAAGUGGCGAGAAUACUCAUAAAUCAUUUAGUUAAGUUUCCCAUUAAUAAAAUCAAAUAUGUUAAAUAGUAAAUUAAUAAAUUACUAAAUAUAAUUAUAAAU
rnacentral:lncRNA from 10 species